rnacentral:rRNA from 1 species
UACGGAGGUGGCAAGCGUUGCUCGGAUUCACUGGGUGUAAAGGGCGUGUAGGCGGUUUCGUAAGCCCUGUUUAAAAGCCUCUGGCUCAACCAGAGUUUGUGAUAGGGGACUGCGAGACUUGAGGAUGGGAGAGGUGAGCGGAAUUCCCGGUGUAAGGGUGAAAUCUGUAGAUAUCGGGAGGAACACCAGUGGCGAAGGCGGCUCACUGGACCAUACCUGACGCUGAGAUGCGAAAGCUAGGGGAGCAAACAGG